GGUCAAUCCUAAGUGCCUGGUCAGAUCCGUGGGGCUCCGUCCUCUCCGCUGGGCCCAGCCUCCCCCAGGUGCCCCUCCUCAGGCAGCAGCCAAUCGCCUGCUCCCGCCUUGACCCCCUCCCCUCUCUCCUCGGCUUACUCUCAGGAUUCCAAAAGUAAGCGUCUGCCAGGCGGCGCUUCUUUGAGGAGGAGGGAGAGGAGGGCGGACCCUCCACCGCGGGGCGCCGUGCGCCGUGAGGAUGGAGCAUCGCUGCCGCCGGGAGAGAGCGAGCGUGCGCGACUUUCGGGGUCUGCCCACCUCCGCCCCAACCCACGAACUCCGCAGACAGCUCAGGAGAUUGCUGUGAGAACAAGAAAAAACCGUCCUGGAGACCAAGGGUGCCCCUACCAGAUGGAUUCGGGCAUCUUCCCCUUCGCUUCUUCGCGAGGGAGGCCGCUUCACGCGCAGAAUAUCUACCCUCCAGUUCAUCAAGGGUGACGCUGUGUGAAAGAAAGAGGCCUCUGCUGUGUGCGUUUGAUAACAGUGCACUCAAGUCUGCUCAGAAGGUGAAACAGCCCUGGGCCACUUCAUUUUGAAGCUCUGAAUAUAUUUUUUAAAUGAAGACAUGCCAAAAUAGUUACCAAAAUUUUAAUUGUGGUUUACGAUCCUUUAAUAAUUCAAUGCUCUUGACACGCACACGCUAACAUAAUGACUGCACGGGUAAGCUCAUCAGGAGAUGAUGCCCAAAAGGCCAUAUGUGAGGCCCCUGAUGAACAUGAGGCCAGAACCAAAUGGCCCUUUUGCUCCACUCCCAGCCCAGAGAUUGGCUCUGUGCCUUCACAUGCUCGGAACGGGAGAGGAAGUGGCCUGAAGCGAGCUGGGAAUUAAGCCUGGAGCAGAGGUAGUGAGGUCUGAGGAAAAGCCUGCUUGAAACCAGGUUCAUACUGGGCCCCAGUUUGGAUACCUCACCUUCGUCAUGCCUCGUUGCCCACCUGUUAGCUGAAGAAUGUUAAAAGAGGCUCGAAGGAGAACAAAGAUAAAAAUGGAGUUCCAAAGAAGAAAGAUGCCACUGGCGGGAAGCAGGAAUGCAUUACUAAAUGCACCCUAAAGAUGCUUCCGUCCCUCCCAUCCUUCCCUCCUUCCUGAGUCGGAAUCAGGAUGCUUUAACAGGCAGUUGGCAAAGAACACCAUUCAUCCCAAACAAGCAGUGUAGUCUUUCCUGUGUUUGGUCUUUAUUAAAAUCUUGGAAUUCCAUGCCUCCUCUGAAUUUCCAUGUGGCUUCUCUUUAUGCAUAAACAUCAAAAAGGAUGCAGCUUGUUACAUAAACUUGGUAGACUGCAAAAGCCUGCCAUGUGUUUAUGCAUUACAAAGAGCCCUGCACAGUUAAAACCAAACUAAUUAGGAGGCGCAAGUCAAAAGAAGUUCUGAAAUGUUAUUAAUAAUUAUAUGUGACAAAAUCAGUUUAUUUUUAGAUUUCUGAGAAAUGCAUUUCUGGUUUGUCAUUGCUCUCCACACCUGUGAUCGUCUCUCUCAGUCUGUCUGCUUGCCCUCUCCUGCUCACCCUCCACAGUGAGUCGCAGGCGGAGGAACCCAUCAGGGCUGCUAUUCUUCAGCUCUCUAACCUUCAGCUGUGUGACUGGCUUCUUGGGCAACACGAUUGCCUGUCAUUUAACGUGCGUGGAUGGAUGAGCUCAUUAACAAGCCGCCCCAGGGGCCCUCUCCAUUGGCUGCUCUCCCAGACCCUAGUUCUUUUUCUCCACCCAACAGCAACGGUGGGCCUUCCCUGUCUGGUGAAGCACAUGCUCACACCCAUCUCAUUGUGCGCCCUUCCCCCUCCUGGAGGAGAACUUAGGGCGGUCAGGAGCAAUCAUUCUAAGCAUCCUGCUGAACCUGCGCUUUUCACGAAGGCCACUCUUUCUCCAGGACGCCACCAGCUCUCCAGAGCCCUCCCCUGGGUUCCCAGGGAGGAACGCUUCAGACAGGAACCGCUAGUGAAGAAAACCUGAGACAACACUGUCGAGAGCAAGUUUUUCUGAAUCCUUCUAAUCCCCGUGGGUCUUUCAGAGGUCAAGAGCGUCCCAGGCCACUGCCAUGUGCUGAGGCUUCCAGAAUACUUUUUUUUUAAAUCUUCAACCUAACCCCUUAUCCAAUCUGAUUCUUUAACUGUUUUUUGGUUGUUUUCUUUUUUUGCAGGGAAAGAUUCACCCUGAGCUAACAUCUGUUGCCAGACUUCCUUUCUUUUUUUUCCUCCCCACAGCCCCAGUCCAUAGUUGUAUAUUCUAGCUGUGUGUCCUCUUAGUGCUUCUCUGUGAGCCGCUGCCACAGCAUGGCUGCUGACAGACGAGUGGUGUGGGCCUGUGCCCAGGGAACUGAACCUGGCCGCCAAAGCAGAGCACGCUGAAUUUUAACCACUAGGCCAUCAGGGAUGGCUCUAGACUACUUUUUUAAAAAAAAUUUAUAAAUGGCAAAAA
rnacentral:lncRNA from 1 species